rnacentral:piRNA from 1 species
UCCUCUUUCACAACACUGGACCAUCUGUCCC